CAUGUCUCUUUCUAUACUCUCUUCGAAGGAAUUAAAUUUCGAGGAUCGAGUUGGAGGUACCGGUUACGGUAUGAAUAGGGACUAGAAAAACCUUUGCGCUGUUGAGUACGGUUGCUCCUUAUGGAGUACUCGUAAUUUUAUGCGCAAACAAGU
rnacentral:snoRNA from 1 species